rnacentral:rRNA from 1 species
GACGAACGCUGGCGGCGUGCUUAACACAUGCAAGUCGAACGGAAAGGCCCUGCUUUUGUGGGGUGCUCGAGUGGCGAACGGGUGAGUAACACGUGAGUAACCUGCCCUUGACUUUGGGAUAACUUCAGGAAACUGGGGCUAAUACCGGAUAGGAGCUCCUGCCGCAUGGUGGGGGUUGGAAAGUUUCGGCGGUUGGGGAUGGACUCGCGGCUUAUCAGCUUGUUGGUGGGGUAGUGGCUUACCAAGGCUUUGACAGGUAGCCGGCCUGAGAGGGUGACCGGCCACAUUGGGACUGAGAUACGGCCCAGACUCCUACGGGAGGCAGCAGUGGGGAAUAUUGCACAAUGGGCGGAAGCCUGAUGCAGCAACGCCGCGUGCGGGAUGACGGCCUUCGGGUUGUAAACCGCUUUCGCCUGUGACGAAGCGUGAGUGACGGUAAUGGGUAAAGAAGCACCGGCUAACUACGUG